CGUGGCCCAUCAAGAGGAAGAAAAAGAACAUAUUUAUUCUCGAAGAGAACCAACCGAACCACAAGAGACGAAUCGAGUGGCGCGACGAAUCCCUAAGAGAGAGACAGACGACGCAAAUCAUGACGGCGAUGAUGACGAGACCCGUGAUUGAGAAGGUGGGGAAAUUUGCCUCUAGAAUCAAAUGGGUGUCUUUUGGAUAUUUCACUUAUUGCGCUACUGAGGGAGUAUUUAGCUUCGCAUAGGUUGCGGUCAAGAUGUUCGGAGUUGGAGAGAGCUCUGUGUGAGAAGUUGCUCGAGAACUAUAAUCGAAGAAAUUAGUUUGUUGUUUGUUACUAAAUAAUAUAUCUAUGGAUUGUGUUUGGUCAAAAGAAAACAAAAAAAGAAAGGUCAUUUGAGCUUUGUAUAGCGUUUCAAGAACUUCAGAGAUAUUCUUUUGAGCUUUGUUCUAAUU